CUUUAAGGUGCGCAGUCCGCAGGCCUUGCCUACUGAUCUUCCAGCCACCCCUUGAAGGAAGCAGUUGCAGACGCUGAGCACAGUGCCAAACCUAUAUAGAAACUCAUUUGGGAUAUGGAGGAGAAUAUGCCACCAGUUCUCCAAAGUGGAGGGGUAAGUGGGACUGUUAAUUAUUUCUCAGUUCCCAAGCUUGGGACUAGUGGAGGGGCAGGGUGGGUCCUGGAAGCAGGAUGGUAUGGUUGGUCAAGUAGCUGGGCCCAUUACUGGUUUGGAGAAAAUGGUGGGUCAGUGUCCCCUCUGGGAAAUUGGAGAGUUUUUUGGGAGUAGUUGGGGUUGGGGCAUCCCCCAGGGAGGUGAGUAGCUUACUCACCUUUGGUGUCACAGUCUUGGAAGGAAAUGGCCCCUUCAUGCUUGGUGGUGAGGCCCCCACCACAAGGGAAGCAUAGGGUCCGUCCUGCUUCAGGUUGGUAGGUGCCACGUGGGCAUGGCUGACAGGGCUUGAACCCAUCUACAGAGUGUUGGCCAGGUGGGCACUGACCUGCAAUGAAUCAAGGGCCCAACUCUGAUGGGGAUGGUCCUGAGUCAUCCCCAUGGGGUCACCCGAUCUCAGGGGACAAAGGUAUACAAACAGGAUGUUGACUAAGAGAGUGGCCUGGAGCCUGGGCCUGCCCUUUGGGAAAUCCCAUGCCCAUGGGCAUCCCAGUGCCCACCCUACCCCACUCUGUAUUGUUUGUUCCCCUGGCACCUGCACACGUGGUGACGUUGGUGGCUCCAAGAGGCCCGUGGGCAUCACUCCCAGGGCAAAGGUCGCAGGAGAGCUGCCCUUCUCUCUCCUGGAAGGUGCCCGCUGGGCAUGGCACACACUGCUCCGUCUGGCCGUGGUAAUACGUUCCCUGCGGGCAGCUGACUGAGGGAGAGUCGGCCGCGCUAGCCACCCACCCCCGCAUUUCCCACCACCCAGGCCUGGGACUCCCCUUCCCACUCCCCGCCACAACCCCCGAUUCAGGGAGAAUCUCUGUCAGGGAACAAACACAAUCCUACUUGGGGGGAUAGGAGGGUCAAAACCGUGUGCAGGAGGAUUGCUGGCCCCACCUGGCAUCCUUCUAGAUUUCAGCCUGGAACCAAGGAAGGGAGGACAGCGGGCAGGAGCAUCCUGGCUGCCUCAUAAUUUGAGAAAUGCAUCUGAGGCCACAAAGGGUCCUGCUCUGAGUCAGGCCCAAACUGGGUCUUUCCUACAUCCCUGCUCCCCAGUAAGCUCCCUUACCACACUUGGUCCCAGCACGGUGCUGCCCGGGCCUACAGGACUCCAUCGGCUCUGCUCGCUCCCCGGCUACCAGGCCCGGCUUGUGGGCCAGCUCAUAAUCAAGGCCUGCCAGGCGCAGCAGGAAGCGGUCCUGGUUGAUGGACUUUCUGAGCAUCUUCAGGGAUCCUUUCAGCCGCCGUUCCAUUCGCUGUCGGAGGCAGGGCAGCCCACAGCUGGCUGGUGGUGGAUGGCCGUGUGUAUCAGGGAGGAGAAAGAGUUGCUGUGAGCAGGAGGGCAGGGGAGCAAAGCUGGGAGCUAGGAGGGGCAUGGUAAGAGGGACUAGCUUUUAGGCUUGGCACCAGGCAGGGUCUGCCCCUAGUACAGGCUCCAUCCCUUCCUUUUGCUGCUGAGACCUGUGGUUUCCCCACCUCUGCCCUCCCCUUCCAGUCCUCUUCCCAACAGUGCCCCCAGUCCCACCUGUGGUUUCUUCGGCUCUGACCUCUGCCUCCAGUUCCAGGGUGAGCCUUGUGACCUCUUUGCCUGGAGGGGUCCGGGCCCGUCGGCCCUUGCCCUUCCGAGAGGAGUCACACUUAAGGUGGAUGAAGGUGACCUGGCAUUCAGAGCAGGGGGCACCACCUGGGAGAGAGGGCUUGUCAACCCCAGGGACAUCCCCUGGAAAGUUCUCACUCCCAGCCCAGACAGACCUCCCCAGAUCUCUAACUGUAACUAUCUCUCAAUCCUGUUUUAGUCUAGGGUCCUAAUUAGUUGGUGGAGGGGAAUAUUCUGGGACUUCCUUGGGUGCUAUGCCUACAGCUGCUUUUUCCUCUGCUCUGCCUAGAGUUCAGGGUUCUGGUGGGUUUUUGGAAGCAGAGGAGCUGAGGGGUAAGGAGGAUUUAGUGGCCAGACAGCCAACUGGAAUGGGGUCCCCAGUCCAAACCUGGCCCUGUGAUUCUGCCAGCCUCCUCUGUUUUGCCUUUGUUUCGCAGGUGCAAACGGCAUUUGGCAUCCUUGAUCUUGAAGGAGGCCCGUUGUUUAAUGGACAGCACUGCAGCCUCUAGAGGGAUGGUAGAAACUCAGCACAGUAUGGGAUGCCCAUGGAGGUCGGGGGUGCCGUAGGGGUUGUUGAGAAGCUGGGUAAUAAGCCAGGGGCUUGGCUGGGGGAGUGAGAUUAUGAAAGUCAAGGGGAUCAGAUGUUAGGGCAGAGGGAGUGAGGGAGCAGGGUUGGAGAAUUACAGGGCAAAAAAGAGGAUCCAGGAGAAAGGAAGGCCAGGGGAUUGAUGAAGAACAAAAAUAAGGGAUUAAUGUAAGAGAGUAGGGUGGGAACAGGGCUUCUGGGCUGGUGCUUACCAUGGCAGUGGUUGGAGUUGGUGCUGUUCCCAUUGUGGCCAGCUCGGGCUGGAGCAGCCCUGGGGCUGGGGGUCCCACAGCUCACCGUGAAGCCAUUCUCAGACUCUGAGAAAAGGAGCCUGUCACAGUUCUGACCUGCCUUCCCAACCCCCGCUGGCUGGAGGAAUCCAGGGGGAAUGAAGGAGCUGCCUGAACGGCCAGUCCUUCCUCUUUUCUCCUCCAAAGCUCUCCAGCACCCUCCUCCCAUGUACCUGGCAAAAAUCGGGCCCUGGAGGGACAGGUCAGGGCACAGGUGUCCUUCUUGCCAGACCGGUUGCAGCUGAGCAUGGCUUUCGAGGCCCCAGGACUGCCCUGACACUUCAGUGGCUCUAGGAAGGGGAGAGAGGCCUGAGCAAAUGAAUGCAUUCCUUUCCCUCAGUUGGGUAAUUUGGAGGAAUCAGCUACUUGCAUAACUAUUGUUGUACCCAUGGAGACUGAUGAUGGGAUUGUUUACUACAAAUUUCAUGUCUUUAACUCAAAAUGGCUACAUUCUCCACCCUUUCCACCUCACACCUUUCCCCAAUGUGAUACUCUAUGCUUUCCAGAACCCCAACUGCUCCCUGAAAUGGCAGUGUCAUCUUUGGCCAGCAGAGGGCACUGCCCACCUGUGCAAUCUUUGCCAUUCCAGUGCAGCCGACCCUGGCCUGCUGGGCAGGUACACUGGUAGCUGCCAGGAGUGUUGAUGCAGCCAAAGCGGCAACCUCCCCGGUUGAUGCUGCAUUCAUCCACAUCUGGGGGAAGGAGUAGGGAGACAGAAAAACAACGAUGGAGUUGGAGGAGGAGCCGGAGAGUAGGCAGUGAGUGAGGGCCUUUGGUUAGAGUUUCAGGUACCCUGCAUUACGCAAGAUGAAUAAGUUCGAGAGAUCUACUGUACAACAGUGUGCCUAUAGGCACAUAAAUACUGUAGUGUACACUUAAAAACUUAAGAGGGUAGAUCUCUUGUUAAAUAUUCUUACAAUUUAAAAAAGUUAAAAAGGCAUUCUAGGCACUGUAAGAUGACUACUGGCCUGAGAAGAGCUCAAACCUCCUCCAAUUAUCUCUGUCCCCAAAGGAAUGAUCGAGAAGGGGCCAAGCCAACAAGCUUUUUAAAGCCUUCCACUCCUCCCAACCAGUGAGACUGUCAUUUGGGAGCUGAGAGUGGGGGUUCAGGGACAGUUAUAGGAAUGGGAGAUAGGAAUUUUGGAGGCAGGAUGCUGUUUCCGCAGUCUCCCAGUUCUUCAAAAGCUGUCUUAAUUCCUCCUAUUUUGUCACAGCGGAUGCAGACAUGGUGCAUGCAUCCAGGGAUUGCCCAUAGCCACAAGCCAACACAAGGACCUGUUCAAUUGGAGGGUGAAGAGGUGAGGGGGCCAGGGUGGCUGGGGGUGCAAGCUUACUAGCUUACCCCCACAGUGGGUGAUACCAUACAACAGGUAGCCACGAUGGCAGAGACACUGGAAGCUUCCUGGUGUGUUGACACAUAUGUGGUCACAGGUUCGAUCAAAGGAACACUCGUCUAUAUCUGGAAGAGCAAAGAUUCAAGCCACUGAAUCUGUCUUGGAGCACUUGACCCUUGCUCAGGUGAAGGACCCAAGUGAGGGGCCUUGGCUUUCCCCCUUGAACUGAAGAGUUCCUAUUCAUGUCCUAGCUCUAGGACCAGUGAUUUAACAAUGCCAUUCCAUCUUCUCUGCCCCCUCUAUUUGAAGUCCUUGGAAUUAGGAACUGCAAGAUCUGGUGCCUUUAGGUCAGGGCCCACCAUGUGUGGUUAGGUACGUCCUACUCUGCCAAGGAUAUGAAUUGGGGUGAAAUCCAUCCCUCAGUCCUUGCCAGGCUGAAUGCUUUGAUAUGGAGCUAGUCCGCUGAGGGGAAAGAGUACCAUUUGCUAAUUUGCAGGAUGACACUGCCUCUAGAGACUCUGUGUGAUAUCUAUUGAGUUUCUAAGACUUUAGCCCUCUGGCCUCCUUGAAGCUCUCCCACAAGAACCUCUCCUAAGGCUUUCACCUUUGGCUGAGUCUGCUCACCCUGGCAGUUCCUCUCAUUGAUGAGAAGCUUAUAGCCUUUCUUGCAACUGCAUUCGAAGCUGCCCACUGUGUUGCGGCAAAUAUGGUCACAGCCCCCGUUGUUUAAGCGGCACUCAUCUAUAUCUGAAGAAGGAGGACAAAACAGGAUAAAAGAUACUAUCAAAGGCUGAGAACAAACAAGGAGAAAGAUCCCUCCCUCACUGACAGAGACAUGCAAAAAUCAAGGAGUCCUGGGCCUGCCUCUUCUUGAUCUCUCUCUGUCUCUUUCUCUUUCUCUUUCCUGUCUCUCUCUCUCUUUCCUGUCUCUGUUUCUUCCCUGUUCAGGGGAUCUGUGGCCAUUAGUAACACCCUCUCUUCUGGGAUUGAGUGUUCUUAUAAGGGGACAAAUUGGAACCAAAACUAGGAACAGGCCCUCAGGGAAUUACCUAGAGGAGGGGCA
rnacentral:lncRNA from 10 species